CACCCAAUAGCACAUGGUGUGCACCUGCCGACUCUUAGCAGUGACCGUGUGAAUCCUGUCAUAUAAUGCAGGUGGUCCCCGUUCGACUCGGGGUCGGGUGA